rnacentral:misc_RNA from 1 species
GAUGAAGAACGUAGCGAAAUGCGAUAAGUAAUGUGAAUUGCAGUAUUCAGUGAAUCAUCGAAUCUUUGAACGCACAUUGCGCCCGCCAGUAUUCUGGCGGGCAUGCCUGUUCGAGCGUCAUUUCAACCAUCAAGCCCCAGGCUUGUGUUGGGGACCUGCGGCUGCCGCAGGCCCUGAAAACCAGUGGCGGGCUCGCUGUCACACCGGGCGUAGUAGAUUUUAUCUCGCUCUGGGCGUGCUGCGGGUUCCGGCCGUUAAAAAACCCUUUUAACCCAAGGUUGACCUCGGAUCAGGUAGGAAUACCCGCUGAACUUAAGCAUAUCAAUAAGCGGAGGA